rnacentral:rRNA from 1 species
AGUGAACGCUGGCGGUAGGCCUAACACAUGCAAGUCGAACGGCAGCACAGGAGAGCUUGCUCUCUGGGUGGCGAGUGGCGGACGGGUGAGGAAUACAUCGGAAUCUACUUUUUCGUGGGGGAUAACGUAGGGAAACUUACGCUAAUACCGCAUACGACCUACGGGUGAAAGCAGGGGAUCUUCGGACCUUGUGCGAUUGAAUGAGCCGAUGUCGGAUUAGCUAGUUGGCGGGGUAAAGGCCCACCAAGGCGACGAUCCGUAGCUGGUAUGGGAGGAUGAUCAGCCACACUGGAACUGAGACACGGUCCAGACUCCUACGGGAGGCAGCAGUGGGGAAUAUUGGACAAGGGGCGCAAGCCUGAUCCAGCCAUACCGCGUGGGUGAAGAAGGCCUUCGGGUUGUAAAGCCCUUUUGUUGGGAAAGAAAUCCAGCUGGUUAAUACCCGGUUGGGAUGACGGUACCCAAAGAAUAAGCACCGGCUAACUUCGUGCCAGCCGCCGCCGUAA